rnacentral:rRNA from 1 species
CCUACGGGUGGCUGCAGUGGGGGAUAUUGCACAAUGGGGGAAACCCUGAAGCAGCGACGCCGCGUGAGGGAAGAAGUAUCUCGGUAUGUAAAGCUCUAUCAGCAGGGACGAAAAUGACAGUACCUGACCAAGAAGCCCCGGCUAACUACGUGCCAGCAGCCGCGGUAAUACGUAGGGGGCAAGCGUUAUCCGGAUUUACUGGGUGUAAAGGGAGCGUAGACGGUUAUGUAAGUCUGUAGUGAAAGCCCGGGGCCCAACCCCGGGACUGCUGUGGAAACUGUGUAACUGGAGUACAGGAGAGGCAGGCGGAAUUCGUGGUGGAGCGGUGAAAUGCGUAGAUAUCAGGCAGAACACCGACUGCGAAGGCGGCCUGCUGGACUGAAACUGACGUUGAGGCUCGAAAGCGUGGGUAGCAAACAGGAUUAGAUACCCGUGUAGUC